rnacentral:rRNA from 1 species
GUGAGGAAUAUUGGUCAAUGGGCGCAAGCCUGAACCAGCCAUGCCGCGUGCAGGAAGACGGUCCUAUGGAUUGUAAACUGCUUUUAUUUGGGAAUAAACUCCGGUACGUGUACCGGCCUGAAGGUACCAAAUGAAUAAGCACCGGCUAACUCCGUGCCAGCAGCCGCGGUAAUACGGAGGGUGCAAGCGUUAUCCGGAAUCAUUGGGUUUAAAGGGUCCGCAGGCGGUCUUAUAAGUCAGUGGUGAAAGCCUACAGCUCAACUGUAGAACUGGCAUUGAUACUGUAGGACUUGAAUUCGAUCGAAGUGGGCGGAAUGUGACAUGUAGCGGUGAAAUGCUUAGAUAUGUCACAGAACACCGAUAGCGAAGGCAGCUCACUAGGUCUGGAUUGACGCUCAGGGACGAAAGCGUGGGGAGCAAACAGGAUUAGAUACCCGAGUAGUCC